CGGGAUGUAGGGUAACGGUCACCCACCAGUUUUGGGAACUGGCCCAAGCAGGUUCAACUCCUGUCAUCCCGA
rfam:Eubacterium sp. CAG:841 genomic scaffold, scf104